CUNUAGAGUAACGCUGGCGGCAUGGUUAAGACAUGCAAGUCGAACGAUAAGCAAGACUUCGGUCUUGUGGACAGUGGCGAACGGGUGCGUAACACGUGAGCAACCUGCCCUUGAGUACGGAAUAGCUCACCGAAAGGUGAAUUAAUACUGUAUGUGACCCUCUAUCGCAUGGUAGGGUGGUUAAAGCUUGUAAUGGCGCUCAAGGAUGGGCUCGCGGCCUAUCAGCUUGUUGGUAAGGUAAAAGCUUACCAAGGCUAAGACGGGUAGCUGGUCUGAGAGGAUGAUCAGCCACACCGGGACUGAGACACGGCCCGGACACCUACGGGUGGCAGCAGUUUCGAAUCAUUCACAAUGGGCGAAAGCCUGAUGAUGCAAUGCCGCGUGGAGGAUGAAGGCCUUAGGGUCGUAAACUCCUGUCAUUAGGGAACAAUAAAUAGGUUUAUAGCCUAUUCUGAGUUAACCUAAAGAGGAAGAGGUGGCUAACUCCGUGCCAGCAGCCGCGGUAAUACGGAGACCUCGAGCGUUACUCGGAUUUACUGGGCGUAAAGGGUGAGCAGGCGGCCAAGUAUGUCAGGUGUGAAAUCCCGGGGCUUAACCCCGGAACUGCGCCUGAAACUACUUGGCUAGAGUCUCGGAGAGGACAGUGGAAUUCUAGGUGUAGCGGUGAAAUGCGU
rnacentral:rRNA from 1 species